rnacentral:rRNA from 1 species
GCGAUACAGGGUGACAGCCCCGUACACAAAAAUGCACAUACUGUGAGCUCGAUGAGUAGGGCGGGACACGUGGUAUCCUGUCUGAAUAUGGGGGGACCAUCCUCCAAGGCUAAAUACUCCUGACUGACCGAUAGUGAACCAGUACCGUGAGGGAAAGGCGAAAAGAACCCCGGCGAGGGGAGUGAAAAAGAACCUGAAACCGUGUACGUACAAGCAGUGGGAGCACGCUUAGGCGUGUGACUGCGUACCUUUUGUAUAAUGGGUCAGCGACUUAUAUUCUGUAGCAAGGUUAACCGAAUAGGGGAGCCGAAGGGAAACCGAGUCUUAACUGGGCGUUAAGUUGCAGGGUAUAGACCCGAAACCCGGUGAUCUAGCCAUGGGCAGGUUGAAGGUUGGGUAACACUAACUGGAGGACCGAACCGACUAAUGUUGAAAAAUUAGCGGAUGACUUGUGGCUGGGGGUGAAAGGCCAAUCAAACCGGGAGAUAGCUGGUUCUCCCCGAAAGCUAUUUAGGUAGCGCCUCGUGAAUUCAUCUCCGGGGGUAGAGCACUGUUUCGGCAAGGGGGUCAUCCCGACUUACCAACCCGAUGCAAACUGCGAAUACCGGAGAAUGUUAUCACGGGAGACACACGGCGGGUGCUAACGUCCGUCGUGAAGAGGGAAACAACCCAGACCGCCAGCUAAGGUCCCAAAGUCAUGGUUAAGUGGGAAACGAUGUGGGAAGGCCCAGACAGCCAGGAUGUUGGCUUAGAAGCAGCCAUCAUUUAAAGAAAGCGUAAUAGCUCACUGGUCGAGUCGGCCUGCGCGGAAGAUGUAACGGGGCUAAACCAUGCACCGAAGCUGCGGCAGCGACGCUUAUGCGUUGUUGGGUAGGGGAGCGUUCUGUAAGCCUGCGAAGGUGUGCUGUGAGGCAUGCUGGAGGUAUCAGAAGUGCGAAUGCUGACAUAAGUAACGAUAAAGCGGGUGAAAAGCCCGCUCGCCGGAAGACCAAGGGUUCCUGUCCAACGUUAAUCGGGGCAGGGUGAGUCGACCCCUAAGGCGAGGCCGAAAGGCGUAGUCGAUGGGAAACAGGUUAAUAUUCCUGUACUUGGUGUUACUGCGAAGGGGGGACGGAGAAGGCUAUGUUGGCCGGGCGACGGUUGUCCCGGUUUAAGCGUGUAGGCUGGUUUUCCAGGCAAAUCCGGAAAAUCAAGGCUGAGGCGUGAUGACGAGGCACUACGGUGCUGAAGCAACAAAUGCCCUGCUUCCAGGAAAAGCCUCUAAGCAUCAGGUAACAUCAAAUCGUACCCCAAACCGACACAGGUGGUCAGGUAGAGAAUACCAAGGCGCUUGAGAGAACUCGGGUGAAGGAACUAGGCAAAAUGGUGCCGUAACUUCGGGAGAAGGCACGCUGAUAUGUAGGUGAAGUCCCUCGCGGAUGGAGCUGAAAUCAGUCGAAGAUACCAGCUGGCUGCAACUGUUUAUUAAAAACACAGCACUGUGCAAACACGAAAGUGGACGUAUACGGUGUGACGCCUGCCCGGUGCCGGAAGGUUAAUUGAUGGGGUCAGCGCAAGCGAAGCUCUUGAUCGAAGCCCCGGUAAACGGCGGCCGUAACUAUAACGGUCCUAAGGUAGCGAAAUUCCUUGUCGGGUAAGUUCCGACCUGCACGAAUGGCGUAAUGAUGGCCAGGCUGUCUCCACCCGAGACUCAGUGAAAUUGAACUCGCUGUGAAGAUGCAGUGUACCCGCGGCAAGACGGAAAGACCCCGUGAACCUUUACUAUAGCUUGACACUGAACAUUGAGCCUUGAUGUGUAGGAUAGGUGGGAGGCUUUGAAGUGUGGACGCCAGUCUGCAUGGAGCCGACCUUGAAAUACCACCCUUUAAUGUUUGAUGUUCUAACGUUGACCCGUAAUCCGGGUUGCGGACAGUGUCUGGUGGGUAGUUUGACUGGGGCGGUCUCCUCCUAAAGAGUAACGGAGGAGCACGAAGGUUGGCUAAUCCUGGUCGGACAUCAGGAGGUUAGUGCAAUGGCAUAAGCCAGCUUGACUGCGAGCGUGACGGCGCGAGCAGGUGCGAAAGCAGGUCAUAGUGAUCCGGUGGUUCUGAAUGGAAGGGCCAUCGCUCAACGGAUAAAAGGUACUCCGGGGAUAACAGGCUGAUACCGCCCAAGAGUUCAUAUCGACGGCGGUGUUUGGCACCUCGAUGUCGGCUCAUCACAUCCUGGGGCUGAAGUAGGUCCCAAGGGUAUGGCUGUUCGCCAUUUAAAGUGGUACGCGAGCUGGGUUUAGAACGUCGUGAGACAGUUCGGUCCCUAUCUGCCGUGGGCGCUGGAGAACUGAGGGGGGCUGCUCCUAGUACGAGAGGACCGGAGUGGACGCAUCACUGGUGUUCGGGUUGUCAUGCCAAUGGCACUGCCCGGUAGCUAAAUGCGGAAGAGAUAAGUGCUGAAAGCAUCUAAGCACGAAACUUGCCCCGAGAUGAGUUCUCCCUGACUCCUUGAGAGUCCUGAAGGAACGUUGAAGACGACGACGUUGAUAGGCCGGGUGUGUAAGCGCAGCGAUGCGUUGAGCUAACCGGUACUAAUGAACCGUGAGGCUUAACCUU